GAUGAACGCUGGCGGCGUGCCUAAUACAUGCAAGUCGAGCGAACAGACGAGGAGCUUGCUCCUCUGACGUUAGCGGCGGACGGGUGAGUAACACGUGGAUAACCUACCUAUAAGACUGGGAUAACUUCGGGAAACCGGAGCUAAUACUGGAUAACAUGUUGAACCGCAUGGUUCAACAGUGAAAGACGGUCUUGCUGUCACUUAUAGAUGGAUCCGCGCCGCAUUAGCUAGUUGGUAAGGUAACGGCUUACCAAGGCAACGAUGCGUAGCCGACCUGAGAGGGUGAUCGGCCACACUGGAACUGAGACACGGUCCAGACUCCUACGGGAGGCAGCAGUAGGGAAUCUUCCGCAAUGGGCGAAAGCCUGACGGAGCAACGCCGCGUGAGUGAAGAAGGCCUUCGGAUCGUAAAACUCUGUUAUUAGGGAAGAACAAAUGUGUAAGUAACUAUGCACGUCUUGACGGUACCUAAUCAGAAAGCCACGGCUAACUACGUG
rnacentral:rRNA from 1 species